GCUCAGAACGAACGCUGGCGGCGUGCCUAACACAUGCAAGUCGAACGGUAACAGUCCUUCGGGAGCUGACGAGUGGCGCACGGGUGAGUAACGCGUGGAUAUCUGCCUAUUAGUGGGGGACAACUACGGGAAACCGUAGCUAAUACCGCAUAAUCUCUACGGAGGAGAGCAGGGGACCUUUCGGGGCCUUGCGCUGAUAGAUGAGUCCGCGUCUGAUUAGCUAGUUGGUGGGGUAAUGGCCUACCAAGGCGAUGAUCAGUAACUGGUUUGAGAGGAUGAUCAGUCACACUGGAACUGAGACACGGUCCAGACUCCUACGGGAGGCAGCAGUGGGGAAUAUUGCACAAUGGGGGAAACCCUGAUGCAGCGACGCCGCGUGCGGGAAGAAGGCCUUCGGGUUGUAAACCGCUUUCAAUUAGGAAGAAGAGAUGAGGAGUAAUAUACCUCUGAUUUGACGGUACCUUUAGAAGAAGCACCGGCUAAUUUCGUGCCAGCAGCCGCGGUAAUACGAAAGGUGCAAGCGUUGUUCGGAUUUACUGGGCGUAAGGAGAUCGUAGGUGGUUUGUUAAGUCGGAUGUGAAAUCCCGGGGCUCAACCCCGGAACUGCAUUCGAUACUGGCAGGCUAGAGUUUGGGAGGGGUACGCGGAAUUCCGUGUGUAGCAGUGAAAUGUGUAGAUAUACGGAGGAACACCUGAGGCGAAGGCGGCUUACUGGACCAAUACUGACACUGAGGAUCGAAAGCGUGGGUAGCAAACAGGAUUAGAUACCCUGGUAGUCCACGCCCUAAACGAUGUCAACUAGCCGUAGCGGGUAUCGACCCCUGCUGUGGCGAAGCUAACGCGAUAAGUUGACCGCCUGGGGAGUACGGUCGCAAGAUUACAACUCAAAGGAAUUGACGGGGGCCCGCACAAGCGGUGGAGCAUGUGGUUUAAUUCGACGCACGCGAAGAACCUUACCUGGGUUUGACAUCUACGGAAUUUC
rnacentral:rRNA from 1 species